GUGCCAGCAGCCGCGGUAAUACGUAGGGUGCGAGCGUUAAUCGGAAUUACUGGGCGUAAAGCGUGCGCAGGCGGUUCGCUGUGUCUGCGGUGAAAGCCCCGGGCUCAACCUGGGAAUGGCCGUGGAAACUGGCGGGCUGGAGUGUGGCAGAGGGGGGUGGAAUUCCGCGUGUAGCAGUGAAAUGCGUAGAGAUGCGGAGGAACACCGAUGGCGAAGGCAACCCCCUGGGCUGACACUGACGCUCAGGCACGAAAGCGUGGGGAGCAAACAGGAUUAGAUACCCUUGUAGUCC
rnacentral:rRNA from 1 species